AUGACCAAAAGAACAUAUCUGCCUCCACGUGGCCAACUACCACGCCAUACUGUCCCCACUCCCCAAUCAUUGACUGCUACAACAAAGCACCUCCUCCAGAAUACGGCUCCGCACCUAAUCACACUCUGCCACGUUGAUUUAUGUGUAGAGUACUACAAUGGUCGGGUUGUAAUUGAAUUUUGCCCUCAAGAAAGGUGGGCCCCGUUGGGCGCCUGCUGGGAUUGA
rnacentral:lncRNA from 1 species